CCCACAGCGGCUAAGAUAGGGACAAGGGCACUAGCUCAUGCACAGGCCAUUCAAGGGAGGCAGGCGUUUUCUUAAAGCACCUUCCUCCCUGGACAUUUUAGGAACAGAGACGCUGUCACUUCAUGACAAGAGAAUACAAGAACACGGGACAGAAAGUGAGACCGGUCUCUGGCAGCAGGAGAGGCACUUUCUGGCAGACACAGCCGUCAAGCAGUACGGUGCUCCCUGCUCCCUCCAGCGGCUUUGAGGAGAAGAGAGCCGCUCCUCUGGGUGCAGAGGGGCUGAUGUCAGCUCUGCCUCGGGGCAACCAGGAUAGCUAGGUCUCUGGUUCCCCGUAAAACGGUCUGUGGUUACUCAUCCGGCUGCAGCUAAGGUAUCCGUGCUCUUGUCUUGAAAGCUUGUCUAACUAAAUAUCUUAAAAUAGUUAAAAAAUAAGACCACUGGUUUCAAAAGCUUGUCAGUCCAACCUUAAUGUCUCCUUGGCUAUUGUGAUGAGCAAACAAGGCCUGCAAUUUUCUUUCUCCCAAUUUACUUAAGCGCUAUAGCAAUGCCAGGCCAGUGGGGCACCAAACUGGUGCUAUAAGGAUGAGACAGCCGGGCAAGGGCUGAAGACCCUUGUCAACUGCUCUUCGUCCAACUCCUGUCUACCUGAAUUCAAGCUGUGGAAAGUUCCCGUGAGUUCCAGCCAGAUACGCCACCUCAGAGUCACACGACCAAGAAUCCAGAGCCUUCCGCUGGGAUUAUACCCACACGGCUACCACUUCGCAGAGGUCAAAAGGGAAGGUACAGACAGACCGAAGUUUUGGAAUCAAGAAAAGGCAGUCUCGAACUGUGUUGAUGUCUUCGGCUAAUUCUAGACCUAAUUCUAGAUCUACAAGCCCAAAAGGCAAAACUCACAGUGCAACAAAUGAAACGAUAAGAAUCUGCAAACUUUUAAGAUGGGGGACGACCAAUUCAGACCCUUAGCAGCCUAUCUUGACUUGCGAAGGUUUGCAAAGUGAAUUCUGUGUCCGUGUACGCCUUGAGUUUUAAGAACACAUUUAACUUCAUUUACUUGUUCACUGAACAAAAAGAAAAGUGCCAACCAUCACCCUCAUCUUAUGAUUCCACAAAGAUUUAAGAACUAGCUGGCUCAAUAAUCCUUAGGAAGAUGGACUUGCUCACUCAGACUUCUCCCUGUUGGAGGAGGCCCCACCCUCGGUGGGUUUUUUCCUUAAAGUUCUCAACGGCCAAGCUAACUGCUGCUCUCCCACCAGAGACCCCUCCAUGAUAGGAGUGAACGCGGCCUCCAUUAUACUUCUGACCAACAACACAUCCCUCCUCUUCUGUCUUCUGAAGGGCAUUUCCUUGCUCCGAGGAGUCUUCAGGAACAGGUCCCACAGGCUGUCUGGAUAACCUAUCCCGACCUCACUUUUCCUAUUGUCUGUUUCUGACCAAGUUUUAGAGAUACCUGGAUUCUUAAGUGCCCUCACAAGGUUUUAAAGGGAGAUUUCAAAUUGAUGAAAUUAUUCUGUGUCAAGGAGCGCCUAAUGCGUGUACCAUGGCAGCCCAUGGGCUGCUUUAACAUCCAUAAUAUGACACCUAUAUAUCCAACAUCCUCACCGCUUGAAGCAGAGGGAAAAUGGAAGUCUGCCUCUACACAGUUAAAACCGAAGUCAAAAUCCCAGCUCCUAACUCUUAAGAAAACCCUCCAGGCCUCAGUCAUUGCUUGCCUUUCAUUCUGUAUCUGAUCUCUCUUACCCACCCUGGUGACCCAGACCUAAUGUAGCUCUGAAGCUGCCCCCUGGGACCUGCAAAGAUAGCGCCAUGUUUCCGAGCACGACCAACUGAGAGCAGAGGGGGACAGAUUCCAAAACCAGGCUCAAGGCUACAAGGCAAGUGGUCUUUCUUACCUUACCUGAUAAGCCCCGAGGGCAUACGUGUAUCACAAUGUCAAAUAAUGAUGACUAUUCAUGAUUCUAAGUCACCAAGAACAGUUUAAUCAUGUUUACGGUACUUAGUUACAAAGCAUUCUAAAAUGUGACGAGCCUGGCCCUGUGCUGCUGGGCUUUGAGCAGCUAAUCCACGUGGCCUCCGUCUCCUCUUCCCCACACUUGCUGUCACUAGAGGAGGCGACACACGGUGCAGGGCAGUGGCCUCACCACUGGGUGACCGACCUGCUGUAAGACUUCAUCUGGGCCAGCGCCUGCUCCUCCAGCUGGUCACUGUUGGACGCGGCACUCAAGGGGCGGUGGUUUUCAUCAGCAGCAGCAAAGAAGGAGGCUCUCUGGACUGGAAGGGAGAGAAGAAGCCAUUCAGGAUGUUGGAGCCACAUCCUGGGUCCUAUCUCUCAAACGUCAACAGCUGGCCUACACCGAGGGUCAGAUCUGAACAGUGUGCGCGGAGGCCUCCGAAACCUAGCUCCUGACCCGUGUAGGAAAAAAUUACUGAUGAAGCAGUAAGAGGACAGUAGCGUUGUCAGUUCUCUUUGAAAAAUACUUGUGAAUCGAUUUGUAGUCCUCCUUUCAUUACUCAUCACAGUAGCACUCUAUGAAAUGUUUCCCUGGAAAUGGGCAUUGUGCCAAAUUUCCAGACCAAGUCUUUCCACCGGGUGAGGAUAGAAAAUGCACUUCUAGAAAUGUUUUCCACAAGAUAGCUGGCUAUCUCCGUUGGCUUCAGCCAAAGUCCAACCAUACGUAUUCCAAAAGAUACCAAACCAAAAACGAGCCAAGAAAACGAAAUCAAAGUUUGAAAAACCUCUCGUUAAAAACUCAAAACUGCCUCCAUCUUAGAUAAAAGAGUGACCAACAAAUCGAAAGUUAAAAUCCAGGCAGUACUGGGGAAGUACCAUCAGCUAACAUGGGGACGGAUGCCCUGUGGACUCCGCCACGGUGGCCGGACUUCUGAAUUCUGUGGCCUAAUCCAUUUCUCCUGAAAACUCUAGCUUGACUGAAUAGCUACAUUCAAUUCUUCAAGUAAGAGCAAGACAAGCCCCAAACCAUUCAUCUGCUAUCACCGUUUUUUAAAGUAUUUCCAGAGAGUUUACGUUGAUGAACAUAGAGUGAAGUCAGUCUAUUCAAAACAGGUAUUUGACAAUUUUUGCCCACAUACACAGCAUUACAUUGAGUCACGGGAAAUGUGCUACCAGAGUCCGGAGAGGUGAACAAGGAGCACAAAGGGAGUGUCCCUGACAUUUGUCGAGACUGGGGCCGGCCAAGUGGACCAAGCAUCCUAACAGAUCCAACCACGCACUUUGCAAUGAUGUCUUUAUGAUGAGGUAAAAGACUCUCUCGGACGUGUGAUCUCUUCAGUCAAGUGACAGCUGGGAUUCCCCCCACACCCUGCCCUCCCCACGCAUGGGCAGGUGAGGCACAAUGCUGUGAACUCCUCUGUGGAGGAGAUGGCAGGCUCCACCUGUUUAAAUCACGCAACGUGUGCCCCUACCGAGUACCCGGUAACUGUGGAUUCAACUGUUUCUGGCUGUGCCGGUCAAGUCCAUGUGCUGUCGGGGUGUUGGAGGAAACCGGGUGGACAGGGACGGACCGGAGCCUCGCACCGCCCAAACCCCAGCGUGGCCCUGCCGGUCCUGUGCUGUCCUGUUUGGUCUGCAGCAGACUCACCCUCAUAGGCCUUUGCAGCGUCCACCAGGUUGGACCAAUCCAAAUCCGCAGCAGCAUCGGGCAGGGGCAUCAGGCCAGGGUCGGGCAUGGGUGGCCUUCGAGUCUCCUGGACAUCAGUGAGGGAGCUGUCCGAGGCUGAGAACUCUCCUACAGGAAAAGAAGAAAGAUCAGAUACUUCUCAUGCCCACAGGAGAACCGCUCAAGGUCUUACCCAAUUCCUGUUACCACAGCAGAUUUCUAACUCAGUUGUUGUCUGGAAUCUGUUUCUAAUCCAGCAGGCCACGAGGGGCUGUCCUAAUGCUGAUGUGAACUAGGAACUGGCUUCUUCCAGUCUUAACUCAUUUUUCGAUAACCUCCCUCUAUCUCAUUUCUAGUAGUGUGAGACACAGAAAAGUUAGUUUUGCACCCAGGCAACAUGUCUGCUUUUGUGGGAAGCUGUCUGUCUACAGUGGGGCCCAGGGUGGCUCCAGUGUCUUGCUUUUUUUCAGUCAAGGAUUCAGGCUAGCAUGCUGAGGUGUGGUUUGACAGACAACUGGUGUUUGAAGCCAGACCAGGAAGCUUGUUGGUAUCGGUUUCAGGGGAUAGUAGGGUCGUUCUCACUGGACUGGGACCCGGACUCUGACCCCCCUGCCUGUGGACCCCCUGCACCCCUGGGGCAGGAGAGACAGACUUCUCCCCAGACCCCACUGGCCCUGUACCCUGGGGAUGUGUCUGCAGGGCAGUGUGAGCACCGAAUCAGAUGAUGUGAGGGUGCUCGAUUAUCCAGAUGGGAGUUCCUACAAGAAGGGGAUGUUAGGAUUGGUGCUGGCCUUCUUCCCCUUCCCAAGGGCACAAGGAGCUACUCUUGGGACUGGUUUGGGAUCACAGCAGUCCCACAGCCUGAGCUGCCUCUGAUGGGACCAUUUUAAAAAUACAGAUAGGAAGCCAUCAUAAGGACAGACCUCUGCCUGGCCUGGGGCAGAGAGUGCGCCACCAGUAGGCUGCUAGUGCUCAAGUUCAUAGGGCGGAGAACAGAGGGGGAGGGCUGCUGGGCUCAUGACGUGUAAAUGCUCUCAACAGGGCAGAGUGUGACUGCAACACUAAAAUCCAUGCCAACGUGAGCUAAAAGCUCAGCUGAAAUCACUAAGUGGCUCCAGAAAUACCUGUUUACAAGGAGUUAAAAAGUUUCACCAAUUAUGAUAGCCUGGUAAACCAGAGUAUAUUUAGUGCCUGUUUUCCCUUUCAAAUUACAUAAAGAACUGCUCUGAACUGCAGCUGCCAGUUAUUAAUGUGCUUAAAAUUAGCAAAAUUAUGAGUAAAUGGAAAUCAACAAAUACUGCCAGAUAUUAAACGCUUUGCUCUGUUUAAACCUGCUCCCACCAAGGGUAAGUGGGUGGAACAAUUUUGCGUGUCACUCACAACCCCUCUGCCCUUUUCUCUCUGGUGCCCAAAUUUCCAUACGUGAAAAAGAAGUUGCCGCUUCCGCGUUGCCCAAACACAUUUCAGUGACAGUCACUGAAACAAGGGCUGAGGGAUCAGCCCAACAAGGCUUGCUCCAUGUAGGACAGGGGGCACAUUGGGCUGCUGGCUGACUUUCAGGAAAGUGAGAAGGCAUGGCUUCCUUGGCUGGACAAUGACUGUGGGUGUGAUUUCCAGGUCGCUUAGAACGUAAGCCUCUAGAAGACAGGGUCUCCUUUGACACGACCCACGCAGACACGCCUUCACAAAGGGUUUGUCACAGGAGCAACGGAAUUCAGGGAAGAGGAACCCCAAUGCGGAGGCACAAGGGGAGAAAAGGGUAGGGCCUUUUUGGUCACCACCAGGAGGUUUUUUUUUUUUUUUCUUCUAGAGUCUAGAUGGUAAAAAGUGGUCAUUUCGUGUGUCAACUGGUUCAUUGGAGGGUGACCUCGUGGAGAAAAGAGAAGCCAGAUAGGGGAGAGGAAGCAGCUGGAAUCUGAGAGAAGCUGGCAUGAUCCCUGAGUGAUGUCUGCCAUCGGCGAGAAGGGGACUGUAGAGGGGAGCAGGGAGAAAGCAAACGAGGCAAGCAGGAGGGUCAAAGAAAACACUGCUCCAAAGAAGUAGCAAAGAAAGGAAGAGAAAGUGUGAAGAUGGGGUGAAGACCUUUACGAUCCACUUCUGCUCCAUGAAUAGUAAGUAAUCAUCAGGCCAUACAACUAAUAAACUUACCUAUUGUGUAUGUAAGUGUUUUCAUGUGAAAAUCUAGUAACUGUACAGCAAGAACUGUAGGAGGUACCUGUGUGUCAUCAUCAUCAUGGUUGAAAUAGUCAUCAUGCAAUGUGCCAGUCUCGUAUGGGAGUGAACAGCUUAUCCUUACAUAGGCAUAAGGUGAGUGAUAUUUAAUAUAAAAGUAAUAACGUUUUAGUUUUCUUCCUGUUUUGUAUUUUGCUUUCAAAGAAUUACAUUACCAUAAAGUAUUCCUCUCACGUAAUUGGGAGAAAACUGCGUAUCAGUCUAUUGGAGGUUAAGUGUUGUUUUUUUUUUUUUUAACGUAACCAUGUUUCUAAAACUGUGCUAUACAUAUGACUCAUACUUUAUGCCAUAAAACUUUUAUAACAAUUCAUUCAUUAGUGUAUAUGCUAGGCUAUCGUAUCAAUUCCACUAAGCUACCAUAGAGCAAUCAUAUUGCUGCUGCUUCAUCAUCAGUGCAUAAAUAUUAUCCUUGUAAAUAAAUAUGCAUUCCUUUUCA